UGACUCGGUAAGGCGCCGGCCGGCUAGCGGGAGGCAGGUUGGCCCAGGGGCGGGGAGGGGGCUUCUAUCCGUCUCUCCUCCCCAUUCCUGAAGACUGGGGAGGAGAGGCGCCAACAACAUCCCAGGCUAGGGAGAGGUUUGACUACCUACCCUCCUGUCUACACUGAUUGGAAAGAGUGGGAGUUGCCUGGACUCCCUCAACCCCCAACACACACACACACACACACACACAGAGUACUGGAUCCCCUCUUCAGUGUACCCACCCACAUUCAUUGUGCACUGAGCAUCUCUUUAUUCAUCUCUCUUUCCUAGCAGACCAUGAGGUCCUUGAGGACAUAGACUGGAUUUUUUCAUCUCAAUCCUCAGCAGCGCAAAGUGGAUGCUAAGAAAAUGUUUGUGGAACUGAAACCUUUGUCUUCUCAAAAGAACUCUCUCCUAACCUCAAAGUGCUACACACAUAGACACCCCCCCCCCCCCACACACACACACACAGACCCUAUAGGAGGGUAGAAGCAAUGAAGAAGAAAUUGUAAAGCACUUUUGAAAAGCACUGUACAUAUAUUAUUUCAAUGUUUACCACAAAGCUAUGAGAAAGAUGUUAUGGCCCCAUUACACUGGUAAGGAAAGGGAGGCUUGCAUUAGUUAAGCACUUACUCGGGAUUACACAGCUAGUAAGUGGUAUGCCCAGGACUAGAACUUGGGUCUCCUUAUCCCAGGGCACUUUCCCUGUAUUCCACUGCCCCCACCCACCCAGAAUCAAUACUAACAAGUAACAAGCAUGGACUGCAUCAGAAAGGAGGGGCACUAACCAGCUCGUUUGCUCCUGCUGUUUGAUUCCUCUGCUCUCCCCCCUGCCCCUCCUCAUAGAUGGUCCCCAGAAAGCUCCUGCCCUCACUGACCUCCCUCUCUUCUGACCACCUGUUACAUCUAUGCCACCCAACCGAGUACCUACUUAUGUGUUUUCUCUUGGUUCUCCUAUAUAUGUCUGGUUGCCCCCAAAAGAUUCUUGAGGGCCAAGACCAUACCUCCUAUGCCUCUAUAUUCCUACAGCACUCAAGUGCUGGGUUCAUAGUAGGACUUCAGUAAUGCAAAUACUCACUUGAUGGGUUGAUGGUGCCAGCAGCUGGGCACAGGGCAAGGUCUGGGAGGGCACAGGUGGAGAGAGGGGGCAAACCCUGAAAGAAGAUAACAUAGUAACCCCUGAGGGUGCCUCACAUCACAGUUUAGAAAGCAUUUUCGUACACAUUCUCUCUCCAUCAUGCUUCGAUCCAGUCAACAAAACUUACCCAAGUGCCUACUAACUGCUGUGCUAACCACGAACUGGCUUCGGGGCUGAAUCACCACAAUGCUGGGAAGUAGGUGUUAUUCCCACUUAAAGGAAAAGAAAAUUGAAGCCCAGGGAGGCUAAGCUCUGGUGUGAAAAAUCCCAGAGCCUAGGAUAAUACCAGACCCAUAGAAGUGGGCUUUACUUUCCUCUCCCCUCUCCAGGGUGUUGCAGGUAUAAUAUGAGCCACAAGGCAAGAGGGUCAUGUCUCAAACAGGAUGCUUGUUAGAAGGAAGGGUCCACCUUAUUUAUGUGGAUCAGUCUUCUCGUUACAUACAUGACAAGCCACAUGGGCUUGUUACAUCCGUUUAGCACAAUGCCAGGUUCAUAGUAGGUCCAGAAAACAACAUUUGUAGGGGUGCGUGGUGGCUGUGUUGCAAGGGGUCUCUCAAAUGUGGUACACAGGAAGUUCAAGCAUAUUCAGCAUGUCCUGUGGAGCAGUCAUGUAGCCUGCUCCCCUGGGUGGGGCUGUGACUCAUUCCCCCAGCGUAGGUUCUAGGUUGGGAUGCGGAGCUCUGCUCUGGGCAGCCACGAGUUCUGGGUGGAACCCCAGGGUGAGCAAGGAGGAGAUGGGGAGAGAGGCCGGCGGCCCGCUGCUGGAAUCGGGCGGCUCCCUCUACUGGCGAACUCGGGGAACCACCGUGUAUUUCGUUUAUGUGUGUGUCAGUGUGUCGCGAGGAGUGUCACAGGUGUGUUCGAGAGUGUCGGUCGAACUGCUGGCAUGGGUAUAGGUGUGCGAGGGUGCCUGCUCGUGGCGCACUGUGGGUGUGCCAGCGCCACGCGGGCCUGUUUCUGGAACCACAGGGUGUACGUACACAGCCACAUCUCAUAAUACAAUUUACUUUGGGGUGGGGGUGGGGGUGAGGCACUAGGGCUGCUGAUUGUCUGAGAUCACUUCCUGGGGUGACUAGGACGCAAGGGUCCUCCAGCUGCUACUCCUCAUGGGCCUCGUGCAGGUGAGAGGGAUUCAGAACCGGAGAAAUGUUCCUGGAAAGGGAUCCUCAAGCAACUAAGGAACCAAGAAAGGGUUAACUUUGAGCCCCACAGUGACUUCAAUCAUUGGCUCAGGGCUGUGUCAGUCAGCGUUCUGGGGGUGGGGUUUGCGGGGCCGCUUUCGGACUGCCCAGCGCCCCUCACUUGCCCCUCGACCCCGCACAUCAUUUCACUUCUGGGCUGCGCCCACACCCCCCCAUCUUGGCGGAGAGAGCUUCCCGGGCCAUGAAGGAGGAGCGGAUCCGGGCAUCCUGGGCUUCCCCACUCCAGCUGCCUGGCUUCCUGAUAGAUGGUGAUUAUUAUAUAAUAGACCUGCUGGACAGAACCGUGCCAGCGCUCGGAACACUUUCCCCCUCCUCGAAGCCUGCCCCACAGCCUGGCACCAGCCGCACAGAGCCUGCUGCCCGGCUCUGCCGGCGCCCCCCAGCACCGCCUCCAUACCGGGGAGGGAGACCUCUGGGCCAUCUUCCCUGGUGGCCCUUGGGCCGUGUCCUGGGAUGGGGCGGGCGCCAGGCUGCGAGCCGGGCUGGCGCCCAGCAGGUCUCAGGGUCGGUCUGCGGAGUAUGGCUUCAACAGCACCACUCCAUGAUUGUGGGACCCACCUGGCUCCUCCAACCUGAACUUGGAACUUGGGAGCCAAUAAAGGAAUCCUUCUCUGACCAACGCCACCUACUUAUUCAUUCAACAAAUAUUUAUUGAGGACCUACUAUGUGCCAGGCUCUGGACUAGACAAUAGGUAUAUUUUGGUGAACAAGACAGAUGUGGUCCUUGCCCUCACAGACAACAAGUGAACAGUUGACUUCAAGUUGGCAUCAUGAAGGCUUGGGGAGCACUUCAGAGAUGCCUAUCCUGGACUUGGGAGUCUUGGAAAGUUUCCUGCAGGGAGCCACAUCUGAGCUGAGCCUCACUGCAGCCUAAGGUGCGGUUCUGUCCAGGCGGACAGUUCAUCUUGCUGGAGGUUUAAUGAUAGAACAAGAUCCCAGCAAGGGAUCUCACACACGUUAUGAGAGAGCUCUAAGGCUCCCUUCCCAAACUACCCAUUUAAAUCAAUUCUCCCAGUCCCAAAAGAAGGAAGACUGGGGGGAGAGUGAAGAGUCUGUGACCUUGGCCUAGUCACACCCUGUCUCUGGGCCUUAGUUUCUUCAAAUGUAGAACAAGAGGGUUGGAUGAUUUUA